UUCCCAGCCCAGAAAUGUACAAACCCUAGCAUAUAUCUUAAGAGGACUCUGGAGUUUUUUCCCAAUCAGCUAAACUGCGUGGAAAUAAUCUACUUUCACUUUUGAAACGAUGUGACUCUUCUUGUGUUUGCAAUGAAGCAAGCAAGCAAGACUACAGAUCCACCUGGAAUGAACCCUUUGCUGACUCCUGGGGGCCUCCAUCCAGUUUUCAACUUUACAUUUAUGAAAAUAAUGACAUUUAGCAGAGAUUUCUCCCUGUCACGUGCAAACCCCAUAUUACAAAUUGUCCCUUGUUCAUUGCGUUUUAUUCUUUAUCUUUAUCAUCAUCUGCAGUAGUAGUGGGUGCAGUGGAUUCCUCCCCAGCGUCGGGGGUCUGGUCACUUUCCUCCUUGUGUUCUUUCUUCCAUUUCAUUCUCCUGUUCUGGAACCAGAUUUUGAUCUGCCUUUCAGUCAGACACAGGGCGUGUGCGAUUUCUAUUCUCCUCCUGCGGGUUAGGUAGCGAUUAAAGUGAAAUUCUUUCUCCAGCUCUAGAGUCUGGUAACGGGUGUAAGUCUGGCGACCCCUCUUCCUGUCCGGACCUAAAGGUUUUAGAGACAACACUGGGUAUUAAGAGCAAUCGGCCAUUUAAAUAAACUUUGUGUUAUAGUGACUGUGUUCCCUUUCACUUAAAUCCAUUAAAUUCCCCAUUAUUAAUACAUGAGGCCUGAUCCACUGCCUGGAUAUUCUAUAGUCCUGCAUCCAUUCUUCUAUGAAAUGCUUUUACUACUGUAUUAAGUCUAUCUGUAACUAAAUACACAUCUAUGCAAAUCAUGGGUUGAUGUUCUAGGGCUUCUAAUAAUGAAGCAUUUCCCCCUUUUUUCCCUUUGUACUGGAGUAAUUCAUGAUAGAUGAGAAUAAAAAAAGAAACGCCCAUUAAGUCCCCCCCCCUCUUGUCCAAGAAAAUAUUGCCUAAAUUGUCUAGAAUCCUCUAUGAUUAUAGAAAUAUAUAUGUAUAUAGACAUGUGGAUAUAUUUUUUGUUUUAUCAAAGUUUUCUUCUGCACUUUAAUACCUAUAUUUUCAAGCAUUUACUAAUAAAAAUCCAUGGUUCACAUUUAGUGAGGCCCCUGUAUUCCCUAA